UACGUAGGGGGCAAGCGUUGUCCGGAUUUACUGGGCGUAAAGCGCGUGUAGGCGGCCACGCAGGUCCGUUGUGAAAACUGGAGGCUUAACCUCCAGACGUCGACGGAAACCGUGUGGCUAGAGUCCGGAAGAGGAGAGUGGAAUUCCUGGUGUAGCGGUGAAAUGCGCAGACAUCAGGAAGAACACCAAUGGCGAAGGCAGCUCUCUGGGACGGUACUGACGAUGAGACGCGAAAGAGUGGGGAGCGAACAGG
rnacentral:rRNA from 1 species